rnacentral:rRNA from 1 species
UACGUAGGGGGCAAGCGUUGUCCGGAAUCAUUGGGCGUAAAGCGCGUGUAGGCGGCUCGGUAAGUCCGCUCUGAAAGCCCGGGGCUCAACCCCGGGAGGCGGGUGGAUACUGCUGAGCUCGAGUCCGGAAGAGGAGUGUGGAAUUCCUGGUGUAGCGGUGAAAUGCGCAGAUAUCAGGAGGAACACCUAUUGCGAAGGCAGCUCGCUGGGACGUAACUGACGCUGAGACGCGAAAGCGUGGGGAGCAAACAGG